rnacentral:rRNA from 1 species
CCCCUAGAUGUUCUGGGCCGCACGCGCGCUACACUGAACAGUUCAACAAGUCUUAACCUUGGCCGAUAGGUCUGGGUAAUCUUUGAACGCUGUUCGUGAUUGGGAUAGACCUUUGCAGUUAUGGGUCUUCAACGAGGAAUUCCUAGUAAACGCAAGUCAUCAGCUUGCAUUGAUUACGUCCCUGCCCUUUGUACACACCGCCCGUCGCACCUACCGAUUGAAUGGUCCGGUGAAAUCUCGGGACGGCGGCUUGGUCGCUUGCGUCCGACUGCUGAAACUUGAUUAAACCAUAUCAUUUAGAGGAAGGUGAAGUCGUAACA